UUCGGGAACUGUGAGACAGGUGCUGCAUGGCUGUCGUCAGCUCGUGUUGUGAAAUGUUGGUUAAGUCCCGCAACGAGCGCAACCCUUAUCCUUUGUUGCCAGCGGUCCGGCCGGGAACUCAAAGGAGACUGCCAGUGAUAAACUGGAGGAAGGUGGGGAUGACGUCAAGUCAUCAUGGCCCUUACGACCAGGGCUACACACGUGCUACAAUGGCGCAUACAAAGAGAAGCGACCUCGCGAGAGCAAGCGGACCUCAUAAAGUGCGUCGUAGUCCGGAUUGGAGUCUGCAACUCGACUCCAUGAAGUCGGAAUCGCUAGUAAUCGUGGAUCAGAAUGCCACGGUGAAUACGUUCCCGGGCCUU
rnacentral:rRNA from 1 species